CCUACGGGAGGCAGCAGUGGGGAAUAUUGCGCAAUGGGCGAAAGCCUGACGCAGCGACGCCGCGUGAGGGAUGAAGGUCUUCGGAUCGUAAACCUCUGUCAGCAGGGAAGAACGGUCACUGUGCUAAUCAGCAGUGAAUUGACGGUACCUGCAAAGGAAGCACCGGCUAACUCCGUGCCAGCAGCCGCGGUAAUACGGAGGGUGCGAGCGUUAAUCGGAAUUACUGGGCGUAAAGCGCUCGUAGGCGGUAUGUCAAGUCAAGGGUGAAAUCCCCGCGCUCAACGUGGGAACUGCCUUUGAAACUGGCAGACUGGAGUGUGUGAGAGGAUAGUGGAAUUCGAGGUGUAGGGGUGAAAUCCGUAGAUAUCUGGAGGAACAUCAGUGGCGAAGGCGACUAUCUGGCACAUAACUGACGCUGAGGAGCGAAAGCGUGGGUAGCAAACAGGAUUAGAUACCCCAGUAGUC
rnacentral:rRNA from 1 species